GGUGGGGUUCCCGAGCGGCCAAAGGGAGCAGACUGUAAAUCCGCCGUCAUCGACUUCGAAGGUUCGAAUCCUUCCCCCACCACCA
rnacentral:tRNA from 1 species